GGGUUGUGAGGUUAAGCGACUAAGCGUACACGGUGGAUGCCCUGGCAGUCAGAGGCGAUGAAGGACGUGCUAAUCUGCGAUAAGCGUCGGUAAGGUGAUAUGAACCGUUAUAACCGGCGAUUUCCGAAUGGGGAAACCCAGUGUGUUUCGACACACUAUCAUUAACUGAAUCCAUAGGUUAAUGAGGCGAACCGGGGGAACUGAAACAUCUAAGUACCCCGAGGAAAAGAAAUCAACCGAGAUUCCCCCAGUAGCGGCGAGCGAACGGGGAGCAGCCCAGAGCCUGAAUCAGUGUGUGUGUUAGUGGAAGCGUCUGGAAAGGCGCGCGAUACAGGGUGACAGCCCCGUACACAAAAAUGCACAUGCUGUGAGCUCGAUGAGUAGGGCGGGACACGUGGUAUCCUGUCUGAAUAUGGGGGGACCAUCCUCCAAGGCUAAAUACUCCUGACUGACCGAUAGUGAACCAGUACCGUGAGGGAAAGGCGAAAAGAACCCCGGCGAGGGGAGUGAAAAAGAACCUGAAACCGUGUACGUACAAGCAGUGGGAGCACGCUUCGGCGUGUGACUGCGUACCUUUUGUAUAAUGGGUCAGCGACUUAUAUUCUGUAGCAAGGUUAACCGAAUAGGGGAGCCGAAGGGAAACCGAGUCUUAACUGGGCGUUAAGUUGCAGGGUAUAGACCCGAAACCCGGUGAUCUAGCCAUGGGCAGGUUGAAGGUUGGGUAACACUAACUGGAGGACCGAACCGACUAAUGUUGAAAAAUUAGCGGAUGACUUGUGGCUGGGGGUGAAAGGCCAAUCAAACCGGGAGAUAGCUGGUUCUCCCCGAAAGCUAUUUAGGUAGCGCCUCGUGAACUCAUCUCCGGGGGUAGAGCACUGUUUCGGCAAGGGGGUCAUCCCGACUUACCAACCCGAUGCAAACUGCGAAUACCGGAGAAUGUUAUCACGGGAGACACACGGCGGGUGCUAACGUCCGUCGUGAAGAGGGAAACAACCCAGACCGCCAGCUAAGGUCCCAAAGUCAUGGUUAAGUGGGAAACGAUGUGGGAAGGCCCAGACAGCCAGGAUGUUGGCUUAGAAGCAGCCAUCAUUUAAAGAAAGCGUAAUAGCUCACUGGUCGAGUCGGCCUGCGCGGAAGAUGUAACGGGGCUAAACCAUGCACCGAAGCUGCGGCAGCGACGCUGAUGCGUUGUUGGGUAGGGGAGCGUUCUGUAAGCCUGCGAAGGUGUGCUGUGAGGCAUGCUGGAGGUAUCAGAAGUGCGAAUGCUGACAUAAGUAACGAUAAAGCGGGUGAAAAGCCCGCUCGCCGGAAGACCAAGGGUUCCUGUCCAACGUUAAUCGGGGCAGGGUGAGUCGACCCCUAAGGCGAGGCCGAAAGGCGUAGUCGAUGGGAAACAGGUUAAUAUUCCUGUACUUGGUGUUACUGCGAAGGGGGGACGGAGAAGGCUAUGUUGGCCGGGCGACGGUUGUCCCGGUUUAAGCGUGUAGGCUGGUUUUCCAGGCAAAUCCGGAAAAUCAAGGCUGAGGCGUGAUGACGAGGCACUACGGUGCUGAAGCAACAAAUGCCCUGCUUCCAGGAAAAGCCUCUAAGCAUCAGGUAACAUCAAAUCGUACCCCAAACCGACACAGGUGGUCAGGUAGAGAAUACCAAGGCGCUUGAGAGAACUCGGGUGAAGGAACUAGGCAAAAUGGUGCCGUAACUUCGGGAGAAGGCACGCUGAUAUGUAGGUGAGGUCCCUCGCGGAUGGAGCUGAAAUCAGUCGAAGAUACCAGCUGGCUGCAACUGUUUAUUAAAAACACAGCACUGUGCAAACACGAAAGUGGACGUAUACGGUGUGACGCCUGCCCGGUGCCGGAAGGUUAAUUGAUGGGGUCAGCGCAAGCGAAGCUCUUGAUCGAAGCCCCGGUAAACGGCGGCCGUAACUAUAACGGUCCUAAGGUAGCGAAAUUCCUUGUCGGGUAAGUUCCGACCUGCACGAAUGGCGUAAUGAUGGCCAGGCUGUCUCCACCCGAGACUCAGUGAAAUUGAACUCGCUGUGAAGAUGCAGUGUACCCGCGGCAAGACGGAAAGACCCCGUGAACCUUUACUAUAGCUUGACACUGAACAUUGAGCCUUGAUGUGUAGGAUAGGUGGGAGGCUUUGAAGUGUGGACGCCAGUCUGCAUGGAGCCGACCUUGAAAUACCACCCUUUAAUGUUUGAUGUUCUAACGUUGACCCGUAAUCCGGGUUGCGGACAGUGUCUGGUGGGUAGUUUGACUGGGGCGGUCUCCUCCUAAAGAGUAACGGAGGAGCACGAAGGUUGGCUAAUCCUGGUCGGACAUCAGGAGGUUAGUGCAAUGGCAUAAGCCAGCUUGACUGCGAGCGUGACGGCGCGAGCAGGUGCGAAAGCAGGUCAUAGUGAUCCGGUGGUUCUGAAUGGAAGGGCCAUCGCUCAACGGAUAAAAGGUACUCCGGGGAUAACAGGCUGAUACCGCCCAAGAGUUCAUAUCGACGGCGGUGUUUGGCACCUCGAUGUCGGCUCAUCACAUCCUGGGGCUGAAGUAGGUCCCAAGGGUAUGGCUGUUCGCCAUUUAAAGUGGUACGCGAGCUGGGUUUAGAACGUCGUGAGACAGUUCGGUCCCUAUCUGCCGUGGGCGCUGGAGAACUGAGGGGGGCUGCUCCUAGUACGAGAGGACCGGAGUGGACGCAUCACUGGUGUUCGGGUUGUCAUGCCAAUGGCACUGCCCGGUAGCUAAAUGCGGAAGAGAUAAGUGCUGAAAGCAUCUAAGCACGAAACUUGCCCCGAGAUGAGUUCUCCCUGACCCUUUAAGGGUCCUGAAGGAACGUUGAAGACGACGACGUUGAUAGGCCGGGUGUGUAAGCGCAGCGAUGCGUUGAGCUAACCGGUACUAAUGAACCGUGAGGCUUAACCUUACAACGCCGAAGCUGUU
rnacentral:rRNA from 1 species